rnacentral:rRNA from 1 species
UACAGGGGGGGCAAGCGUUGUUCGGAAUUACUGGGCGUAAAGGGCUCGUAGGUGGCCAACUAAGUCAGACGUGAAAUCCCUCAGCUUAACUGGGGAACUGCGUCUGAUACUGGAUGGCUUGAGUUUGGGAGAGGGAUGCAGAAUUCCAGGUGUAGCGGUGAAAUGCGUAGAUAUCUGGAGGAACACCGGUGGCGAAGGCGGCAUCCUGGACCAACACUGACACUGAGGAGCGAAAGCCAGGGGAGCAAACGGG